CGCUCUGGUGGCAUAGAGGUUAGAGCAUCAACCUUGGAUGUAUGAGGUCGUGGGUUCGAUCCCCAGUCGAGUCA